rnacentral:misc_RNA from 1 species
CCGUCUACAUCGUCCUCAAACUUCUCUCUAUCCUUGCCCCUCUCUCGCGUGUAUCUAACGAAGGCACCUUUGCUUUUUAGUGGAGGAGCCGGUCACAACGGAGACGCACACGCACACGCAUAGGUGACACGAAAACAACCAAAUACGAACCCCCCAAACUCAGCUUGCCCGAGGUAUUUUUCUUUUUUGGAUGUAGUCACGCUCUGCUCUCUGCACUUCGAGUCUGAAUCCUCUAUUUUUUUUUCUUGUUUUCGUUGUUUAGUUCUUUGCGUGCAGGCCUCGUCCGAUCUGCAACACCCGUGGGUGACACUGUUACCCCGUAAUCAACCACCCAGUUCCACUGCCGCUGCCUUCCCCUCCCUCGUCAUUAACUCGGCAAUCUCUUCACUCUCUCUUCUCGUUUUAUUUUUAUUCACGUGCCUUUCGCCACGUCGUCUCGGUCUCCCGCGGCGGCGAGCACUACUUCUCCAUCCUCUACGUCGCCCAUCUUCUUGUUUUCUGUGCCGCUUUCCUUUGCGUGCGCGAACGCCCUGCCGAUCCCUCACAAACUACCCACAGGAGGGCAGGCAGGUAGGCACGCAGGCGCCCCUCCUCACCCACCAAAAAAGAAUAAAAGCGCACCCGUCUAUUUAAACGGACACGCGCGCAAUAACCCCCUUUUUUCCACCACCAGCAGCAAGGAAUACAGGCAGAUAAGCAAUCUCUUGUGUGUUGAUACAUAUUGAUCUACAUAUAUAUUCCUCUAUUGAUAUAUUUACCCCCUCCCUCAAACACACACACACACACACCUCUUCCUCCUCCCCCUCCCCCUCCAUUUCCGACCUCCUCCCCUUCUCCUUUUUUUUGUGGGUUGAUUUCGUUUUAUUUCUAAGGCCUCUCUCUUUUUCAUUCUCUGACGGACUCGACGGGUGGUGGCACAUGCUCCAUAUACGCACAUCAAAAAGCGCACCCACGUAAAAGUAGACCACACGUUGCGUGCGUCCAGCUAGUUGUGACUUGAGCUGAUUUUGUUGUUGUUUUUGGUCUUACUUUAUCUCUGCCACAACGAAGGCCAGCGAGCCCUCAACAUCCGCAUUUUUUAUCGGCUCUCGCACGUGUCGGACUGCUGUAUUUCGUGCUCUCACGACCACUGCGACCACCUCUUCAGCAGUGACUCUUAUCCGCGUGUGCCUUCUUUUCUCUCACGCCCUAACGUUUUCGAAACUGCGCUUGUUUUUUUUUUUCAUCGCUGAGGAUUCAUCUGCCUCUGCCGCCAUGCUGCGCCGUACACGGAGGGCCCUCCGGCCAAUGGUGAUGAGUGCGGCCGAGUCUGUUCAGGACAUUCACGAUGGUGCCACCAUCGCGGCCGGUGGCUUUGGUUUUUGCGGCUUCCCGUUCGAGCUUUUCGACGCCGUCAACGCCACCAAGGCGACGAACCUCACGGUGAUUGGGGCGACAAUGGGCGGCGUGGACAGCGGCUUUGGUCCGCUUGCGCGAGACGGGCAGCUAAAGAAGGCCAUCACCACGUACGUUGGCGAGAACCCGCUUUUCACGAAGCACCUCUUUCACGGCGAGUUUGAAAUCGAGUUUUGCCCCAUGGGCACGCUGGUGGACCGUCUGCGCGCUGCGGGUGCGGGGCUGCCCGCCUUCUACACCCCCACCGGCUACGGCACCGCAGUAGCCGAGGGCCGCCUCCCCGUGCGCUUUGCGCCGGGCAAGGCGGUGAGGGUGGCCGAGUACAGCCAGCCACGCGAGACGCGGCAGUUCAACGGGCGGUGGUGCACGCUGGAGAUGGCGCUGCCGGCGGACUUUGCGUUUGUGCGCGCGUGGAAGGCGGACAAGCGCGGCAACCUCGUGUUCCGCGGGACGACGCAGAACUUCAACCUUGCGUCCGCGAAGGCUGCGAAGGUGUGCAUCGCGGAGGUGGAGGAGAUUGUGGAGUGCGGGGAGCUGGACCCGAAGACGGUGCACCUGCCCGGCGUGUAUGUGCACCGCCUGGUGUGCCCACCGAACAUCAGGAGAGCCGCCGAGUUCGUGGUGGAGCGCAAGCCUGGGUUCUCGACGGGGACCGGGAAGAACGCACAUGCAGGCCGCAAUCUCAUAGCUCGCCGCGCAGCCCUUGAGAUCAAGGAUGGCAUGACACUGAACCUUGGCAUCGGCAUCCCCAACAUGGUGGCGAGCUACAUUCCGCCUGAAAUGGACGUGGUGCUGCAGGGAGAAAACGGCUUACUCGGCAUUGGCCCCUACCCGCUGCCGGAGGAGGUGGACCCCGACAUCACUAACGCCGGCAAGCAGACCGUCACCAUGAGCAAGUCAGGUGCUUCGCUGUUCGACAGCGCCGAGUCCUUCAGCAUGAUUCGCGGUGGUCAUUUGGACUUGACGAUGCUUGGCGCGCUGGAGGUCUCUGGCACCGGCGACAUUGCCAGCUGGUGGGUGCCUGGCAAGGUGCUGAAGGGCAUGGGUGGGGCCAUGGACCUGGUGGUGUGCGGUUGCAAGACGAUCGUGCUGAUGGAGCACACGGACAAGGAGGGUAAGUCGCGCGUCGUUGAGAACUGCAGGGCCCCCGUCACGGGUCGUGAGUGUCUUGACAUGAUUAUCACGGAUCUGGCCGUCUUUGUCGUGCAGAAGACGGCGGGGGGUGUGAGGUCGCUGGUCUUGAUGGAGAUCGCCGAGGGUUUGACGGUGGAGGAGGUGAAGGCCAAGACUGAGGCAUGCUUCGCCGUGGCUGCGGACCUCAAGACGAUGCCGUUGGCGCCUGUUCCAAGUCAGACGUAGAAGGGUGUGGCUGUGUGGAUGUCCGCUGUCGGUUGUGGAUGAUAGCAGUGCCGGUUGGCGCUUUCCCACCCCCAUUUGUUUGCUUGUUUUCUCGCCUGUUUCCAUGAGGACUCAGGCGUCAUUAUUAUCUGUUUGGGGAUGGCAGAGACUUGACAUCUUGUCAAUGAAGAGCGAUGCCUCACGUCUCUCUUUCCCCACGUGUGCUUUUUUUCUUUGCGCUUAGCAGCUUGGAACUCAUCGUUUCAGCUUCCGUUGUGUGCAGGGGCGGAUGGUAGCGCCCUUUCGGGAGCUGUGCACGCGGCUUCACGCGUGGAAUUACGGACUUGACGGCUACCACAUCGACUUCACAGCAGGCCGGCGUGUCGGUCUCUCUCUGCGUACGUGUGCACAUCUUGAUUCAUUCCUUUCGCCGCGCUGUCCAAAACGGAUGGGUCGUGGCGCCUGCGAAUCAACACGGCGUCAUGGCAUUCGGUGCGAAGUGCGUAGUAAAAAAAAGGAAAU